rnacentral:rRNA from 1 species
AUCUACCACCAUACCACCCUGAAUGUGCCCAAUCUAGUCUGACCUAGUUAGUUAAGCAGAGUCAGACCUGGUUAGUACUUGGAUGGGAGACCACGUGAGAAUACCGGAUGUUUUAUGCU